CAGCCGCCGCGGGAAUACGAAGGGUGCAAGCGUUACUCGGAAUUACUGGGCGUAAAGCGUGCGUAGGUGGUGGUUUAAGUCCGUUGUGAAAGCCCUGGGCUCAACCUGGGAAUUGCAGUGGAUACUGGAUCACUAGAGUGUGGUAGAGGAUAGUGGAAUUUCCGGUGUAGCAGUGAAAUGCGUAGAGAUCGGAAGGAACAUCUGUGGCGAAGGCGACUAUCUGGGCCAACACUGACACUGAGGCGCGAAAGCGUGGGGAGCAAACAGGAUUAGAUACCCGCGUAGUCCCUGUCUCUUAUAC
rnacentral:rRNA from 1 species